GAUAAACGCUGGCGGCGUGCUUAACACAUGCAAGUCGAACGAAGUUUUUCUUUCGGGAGGAACUUAGUGGCGGACGGGUGAGUAACGCGUGGGUAACCUGCCCUGUACAGGGGGACAACAGCUGGAAAAGGCUGCUAAUACCGCAUAAGCCCUUAGCACUGCAUGGUGCAUAGGGAAAAGUAGCAAUCCGGUACAGGAUGGACGCGCGUCUGAUUAGCCAGUUGGCAGGGUAACGGCCUACCAAAGCGACGAUCAGUAGCCGAUCUGAGAGGAUGUACGGCCACAUUAGGACUGAGACACGGACCAGACUCCUACGGGAGGCAGCAGGGGGGAAUAUUGCACAAUGGAGGAAACUCUGAUGCAGCGACGCCGCGUGAGUGAAGAAGUAUUUCGGUAUGUAAAGCUCUAUCAGCAGGAAAGAAAAUGACGGUACCUAACUAAGAAGCACCGGCUAAAUACGUG
rnacentral:rRNA from 1 species